GAUGAACGCUGGCGGCGUGCCUAAUACAUGCAAGUCGAGCGAACAGACGAGGAGCUUGCUCCUCUCACGUUAGCGGCGGACGGGUGAGUAACACGUGGAUAACCUACCUAUUAGACUGGGAUAACUUCGGGAAACCGGAGCUAAUACCGGAGAAUAUAUUGAACCGCAUGGUUCAAUAGUGAAAGACGGUUUUGCUGUCACUUUGAGAUGGAUCCGUGCCGUAUGAGCUAGUUGGUAAGGUAACGGCUUACCAAGGCAACGAUGCGUAGCCGACCUGACAGCGUGCACGCCCACGCUGGAUUUGAGACACGGUCGAGAGUCCCACGGGAGGCCGACGUAGGGAAUCUUCCGCAAUGGGCGCAAGCUUGACGGACCAACGCCGCGCGAGUGAUCAGGCUCCUCGCAUCGUAAAACGCUGUUAUUCGGGAAGAACGCCUGUGUCAGACACUAUGCACGUUUUGACGGUACCUAAUAAGAAAGGAACGGCUAACUACGUG
rnacentral:rRNA from 1 species